UAAAGGUUUGGUCCCAGCCUUUCUAUUAGCUGUUUAUAAACUUACACAUGCAAGCAUCAACAAACCAGUGAGAAUGCCCUUAAAACCUUUCGCAGGAAAAAAGGAGCCGACAUCAAGCACGCAAAAUUGCAGCUAAAAACGUCUUGCCCAACCACACCCCCACGGGAUACAGCAGUGAUAAACAUUAAGCAAUGAACGAAAGUUUGACUAAGUUAUAUAAAAUUCAGGGUUGGUAAAUUUCGUGCCAGCCACCGCGGUCAUACGGUUAACCCUAGCUAAUAGGCUCAACGGUGUAAAGAGUGUAAAUUGACCUACCAUAAAUAAAUGAAGAUAAGAUAAAUUUAAGAUGUAUAAACCUCCAAAUUUACAAAAACUCAACAACGAAAGUGUCUUCAACUAUUUGUAACCUACACGAUAGCUAGAACCUAAACUGGGAUUAGAUACCCCAUUAUAUCUAGCCAUAAACAUAAAUAAUCCAUAACAAGAUUAUUCACCAGAGAACUACGGGCCACAGCCUAAAACUCAAAGGACUUGGCGGUGCUUCACAUCCACCUAGAGGAGCCUGUUCUAUAAUCGAUAAACCCCGAUCUACCUCACCAAUCCUUGCUAAUUCAGUCUAUAUACCGCCAUCUUCAGCAAACCCUAUAAAGGUGAAAAAGUAAGCACAAUAAUUUUCCAUAAAAACGUUAGGUCAAGGUGUAACCUAUGGGUUGGGAAGUAAUGGGCUACAUUUUUUAUUUUAAAACAUAACGGAACGUCUUAAUGAAAUUUAAGAUUAAAGGAGGAUUUAGCAGUAAAUUAAGAAUAGAGAGCUUAAUUGAAUUUGGCCAUGAAGCACGUACACACCGCCCGUCACCCUCCUCAAAUGUUAAAAAGUUGAACAUAACUUAAACCAUACUAAAUACACUAGAGGAGACAAGUCGUAACAAGGUAAGUAUACUGGAAAGUGUACUUGGAUGAUAC
rnacentral:ncRNA from 1 species